CAUACAUGUUACGGUCCUCAUUUCUACGAAACUAUUGAAAAAAGGGCGCCACGCAGCUAUGCAGUGUUAAAUGUUUGCGACUCAAACGCGUCGACACUCGCGCACAAAGAGAGAGGAACUAGAGACGCGCGCGCUCCUGCGUCUGUUGCGCGAAAGGCGAAAAGGCGUCAAUUUAAAAAAUAAUAAUAAUAAAUCGACGCCGGCGAUCCCCUUUCUCCGCUUUUGGAGAAUUAAAUAAAGAAAUCAAACUGGCUCACGCUGUCUCGAACCCGACCACUUUGACAGCUGCUCUUCACCCCCUUUGGAGGACUGUCAACAGCAAAAGGAUGGCAUCAGAACUGGCAAUGAGCAGCUCCGACCUGCCCACCGGUCCCCUGGCCAUGGAAUAUGUUAAUGACUUCGAUCUGAUGAAGUUUGAAGUGAAAAAGGAGCCGGUGGAGCCCGAUCGCAGCAUCAGCCAGUGCAACCGCCUGAUCGCCGGGGGAUCCCUGUCUUCCACCCCGAUGAGCACGCCUUGCAGCUCGGUUCCCCCUUCCCCAAGCUUCUCGGCGCCCAGUCCGGGCUCCGGGAGCGAGCAGAAGGCGCACCUGGAGGAUUUCUACUGGAUGACCGGCUACCAACAGCAGCUCAAUCCGGAGGCUUUGGGCUUCAGCCCCGAGGACGCGGUGGAGGCGCUGAUCAACAGCAGUCACCAGCUCCAGAGCUUCGACGGCUAUGCUAGAGGGCAGCAGUUUAGCAGCGCAGCCGGGGCGGGAGGCGCCAUGGCCGGCGAGGAGAUGGGAUCCGCCGCCGCGGUGGUCUCCGCGGUCAUCGCGGCCGCCGCAGCCCAGAACGGGACACCCCACCACCACCACCAUCACCACCACCACCCGGGCGGGCACCAUCCGACGCCCGGGAUGCAGUCCAACGGCAACCCCGCCAGCCACCAGCACAUGCACCUGGACGACCGCUUCUCGGACGAGCAGCUGGUGACCAUGUCCGUGCGCGAGCUCAACCGGCAGCUGCGGGGGGUCAGCAAAGAGGAGGUGAUCCGGCUCAAACAGAAGAGGAGAACCCUCAAAAACAGAGGCUAUGCCCAGUCGUGUCGCUACAAGCGGGUGCAGCAGAGGCACGUCCUGGAGGGCGAGAAGACCCAGCUGCUGCAGCAGGUGGACCACCUCAAGCAGGAGAUCUCCAGACUGGCGCGCGAGAGGGACGCGUACAAGGAGAAGUACGAGAAGCUCAUCAGCAGCGGCUUCAGAGAAAACGGCUCGAGCAGCGACAACAACCCGUCGUCCCCGGAGUUUUUCAUGACAUCACGAAAGUUUCUACACCUGUGAUAUGACCUCUGACCCCUGCCCUUUGCCCCUGCAGUCUGAGAUUUGUGGGAAACACAGGCAGACGAGGAGGAGGAGGAGGCUGAGACCGGAGAAUCAAUAUGCAGGAGCGGCCGGCCGGUCAUUUGUAUGCUACAUGUGCAGCAGGGCUAGGAGAGCCAGAGCCAGGAGUUAGAAAAGCAAAGACAGUGUAACACAGGAAUGCUUCUGGCUUAGGGUGACCCACGGCUCCAAGACUGCCACAAAGCACAACCUCUCCAAAAUCCACCCCGAUGAAGACAAUGAGGAGGAGGAGGAAGAUGAUGGAAGAUUGAGAGAAAUCAGAAACCCUUUAUCAACCUGAGUGCCAUUCCUCAGCCUUACCCACAACCCCCUUCUACUGACUUUACCUUGAUUUUACAGUCAGAUGUCUCGCUAACAAUGAAAAACAAAUUAGGAGAGCUUUGAAACAUCCCUGCAUGCUUGAUGAUGCAGUCCAGACAAUAGAAGGAAUUCAAAACGGAACUUCCACCAGAUAUUUCCAGACCAGGUGGACUCUUUCUGUCUCUCUGCCGCUGACGGCCCUCCGGUUCUCAUACCAGAUGCUGUUUUAUUGUACUUCACAUUAACCCAGCAUUUUAUAAAAGGUGGUUGGGAGGCUCUAGCCAGAUGGAAUAAAGAAAGCAAACAGCAUUCAAAUU